UGUUUCCCCAAAUUGUGGAAUCAUCUAAUGGUUUGGUUUGGAAGGGACAUUGAAGAUUGUCUAGUUCCAAUUAGCUUUUGGAGUUAUUUUUGCAGGGAUAUGGGACCUAAUUUGAGGUCUGUAGAUCUGUUGAUUCACAUAUUUCUUUUGCCAAGGAGAAAUACCAAAUAAACAAAGGUUCCAUCUGUGAAGAACUCCAGAUCCAGCAGAAUUAAGGCAAAGCUUCAGACUUGUUGCAAAUUUUCUGUGCUAUGAAGACACAUGACUAGUGGCAGCUUAACUCAAAUUUACUUAAACUUCUUACCUACCCCCUUGAUUUUACUCAUAAUGUAUGCUACUAAAGCAGCUUAUAUUUUACAGUAAAGGCCUUUAAAUUGCAUGUCUAAGCCUAAUCCUUUCUGAAUUCACCAGCUCCUUUAUAAUUUUCCCUUAAUGGCAUGCAAAUUAGAAGGAAUAAAAUAAAACAAAACAAACCCUCAAAAAAACCCAGCCAAGCAUACCCCCUCCUUUCCUUAAAGCUGCAAUGCUACUUUGCUUGUAGAGCAGGUGAGCACGAGAAGCUUCUGAUCCUCAGCAGGGGUUGUAACACCACUAAUUACAUGGGAGUUAUGUGAUUAGAGCAGGGGAGUGAUGCAGUGCUGAAACAAGCCUGUUGCAGGCAGGAUUUAGUCUUGAAUAAAUUUGUCUCACUUUUAAGAUAGAAAGAAUUAUACAGAAAUAAAGGAAGAAGUGGUUUGUUGCUGCCUAUUAGAUGGACUUUAAAAUACAGCAGUUUAUUUUAGAAAGAAAAAAGUAAGUUAGAAUAAGUGUGGAAGAGGACAACCUCAUUUUCACUCAAAAAUACAUGGAAUGUACAUGGCAUAUAUGUUUUCUUAGUUUAGAUGUAGCAGAAAACAAAAUGGUCACAAGGGAGCCUUCUUAUACAGGGAAACCCUUUGGGAAACGGUGGUGUUUUACAAGAAGAAAUUCCUUACAGAGACUAACUAGUUUGACUUAAAGAAAAAGUAAAACUUAAUUGUCCUCAAAGGCAUAUUUGUCUUUCCAUAGCAUAAUAUUUCAGCAUUGAAAACUACUUUUCAUUUAGGAACAGCCAAGCUCUGCAAAUGGAAAAUGUCUUUAUACGGACAGAGCUGAGUGAGGAUGUCUCAGAACUGGUACAGAACAGAAGAUUCUGAGAAGAGACAUGCUGAAAGGGAUUUUCCAGUUAUCCUAUGAUGACGCAUCUACAAGCUCGGUUUUAUGAAGGAAAAACAGGAGGAAGAGAGAAGAGACUAGUGGCCAGUGUAUGGCAAUCAGAGAGAUAAAAGGUUUGUUUCUGCCAGCUUUACCACACAGCAAAGAAUCACCACUGCAGCAAGGUUUGACAGAGGACACCUGAGAUGACCCUCAGACUCCCCUGUAAAUCUCAGCAUGACAGAAGUGUGGUUCUAGUGCUGUUUUCCUCAGUAUGUUGCCAGAGAAAAUAGAUCUAAGAAAUCAGUAAGUUCUAAAUAGCUCCUGCACUUCCAGACAACACCAGUAACUAACAGCUACGAGACAUAUUUCUUCUUGUCAAAUAGUGAUCAGUAAGGACAUGAAAUCACUGUGUCCAGAAUGGGAUCCUCAGACUUAAUCACAGAAUCAUCACAGAAUGGUUUGGGUUGGAAGGGACCUUAAAGACCAUCUUGUUCCAACU